GCAGGAAUGAAACAAAAAAUGGUAUACUUGGAAGAGGACCAAGCAGGCGACUUGAGAGAUAAAGUGCGCUGUUUGACCUUUGACUUGGGGUCAUACACUGGCAUGCUUCUGGGGUCUUGCGUCCCUUCUCCCCUGAUUCUUCCCUUGGGGCAGGAUGUUACCUGGAGCAGUGGCCUGGAGAGAAGCAUGCUGAGUGUGCUUCCUGGAGUUGUACGCAUGCUCAGUUAAAGCGUUCUUCCCUUACCAGUCAGAUGUCCCCAGGAGGUCAUAUACCAGUUAAACUCUGCCAUUUUGCCUCUUAGUGUGCAUGCUUGAACCUACUUGCCCAACUCUUGAGAUCUUAUCGGGAAGCUGCUGAUCACCAGUUUCAGAGAAAUACCAGGGAAUUCAAAUGCUAGAGGAAAUGCUGCUCUCGGGAGGAAGAACUGAUGAUAAAGGAAGGAGAAAAUGGAAGUGUUGGAGUGAUGUCCGCAGAUAGGAUGAGGUGAAAAAGCACAGCAGACAAGAUGCGAAGCAUUCACGCCAAGUCCUCAAUUCACAAACUGAUUUGAUCUGCUGUUGUAUUCCCAGAGUGCUAGGUCCCGUAUGGGACACCAACGCCAUCCCAUAUGCUCACUGUUCUGCGCUGCUGUGUAUAAAGCCCUGGGCAAGAGGACAAGGGAGGGAAAAACCAGAAAGACUGAGUCAGAGAAGGCUCGGGAUGAAAUUUGAGUCCAUUGGGAUCAUUCUGCCUAAACGACAGAGGAGAAAGCUUGGGCUCAGGGAGGAGUCCUCCUCCUCCUGGCUCAAGGUCACCGGGACAGACCAGUCAGGAUGGGAAAGAACUCCACUUUCAAGAGCAAGACCUGUUUCCCCAGGACCUGGGCCCUGUGCAGACAGGAAGGGGGACUUCAGGAUGGAUGGGGAAAAGGACACGCUGGGAGGCUGCGGGGCCAGCCUUUGGGGCUUGCAUCCUGCGAAGGUUGAGUAACUCCACGGGUCUCCCUUUUGCCGCUAUACCACUUGCCAACUGGGUUUGGAGUCUCUUGGCUUGUGAGUCCUCAGGGACCAGAGAAGUGACUCAGUGAACACUUAGUACAUCGUUGGCACCGGGGAUUGUGUGUGAUUCAGGAGUCACUCACAGAGCUUGUGCUGAUUAACUCCAGAAACUCACCCAAAGCCUCCUCCCCACCCCUUCAAGCCCAGGAUGAAGGGAUCAGACUGUGGCUCUGACACUCCUGAAAUGUUUCUCACGUGUCCACCUGCCAACCGGUCUGGUACCGACAGAAGAUCCCUGGACCGCGAACUCCGGGGCUAGGAGCUUCCUCCACGCACUGCCUCCUUCCAGCGGCCCACAGGGAAAACAGGACCUCGGGACCCCCUCUCUUCCUGACCUCCCCUGGAUUCUGAGCGGGCCCACCCUCAACCAAAGGUCCCCUGUUUCGCGGCCCCUGCCUCUCUUUUUCCGCCUUGGGAAUUGUCCCCCUCGCCCCCCAUCCUACUCCCACUACGUCCUGAGGGGUGUCUGUCUUCUCUGAUCGCCCCCACCCCCUUCCUUUCCCUCCUCCUUUUCCUCCCUCGGCUCCUCCCCCAGGCC
rnacentral:lncRNA from 1 species